UCCAGUGAAAAAUGAGACCAGUUUUGGGGUGAGGUGGUGGGGCUAAGGGUGCUCCUUUCUCACCUGUUGUUCCACGAGCGUGUGGAGCCUGUAGCUGACAAUGACUGUCCUGUUCUGUGCUGGAGUUUGGGAGCCCUGGCUUCACCUCUGAUUACUCUCUUUCACACCAGAUAAGCCCCUUUCCCUUGCUAGGCCCCAGUUUUCCCAUCUCCAUGAUAAGGUGGCUAGAAUAAAUGAACACGUUUUCUGUACCUUUAGCCCGGAGAACAGGACCAGAGACCUCUCCAGGAAGGAUGAAAUGUAGCCUUCCCUCAAGAACAUGGCAGCUCCAGAUGAGGAUCGCUAGUUGUGAAGGAGGAUGAUGUAAUAUCUUUUCUCACAGGAACCUGGAGUUGAAUUGAAGAGCACUGAAGCCUGUAGAUCUCCUUGGAAGAGCCCUGUUCAGAGUCUGAGGAGUGAUUCAUAUGCAUGGAUUUCUCAUCAAAGAGCAGAUUGUGUCAAAUUCACAGAGCGCUUGACUCUUGCGUGGCUCAGAACUCAUUAUCUUCCAGCAGCAAGUUGAGAGAUUCUUGGACAGACAUCUAAACAAACGCUCAAGUUGCUGCUUUGACCCAGCUAACCUUCCGCAAUAAAGGGUAGUCUUGCUGAAGUCAACUCAAUCCCAGUGGCCUUAUAUUUAUGACAUUCCAGACUGAAGAUAACAUGUGGAAAGCGGCUGCAAAGUAAAAAGAAACAAAGAAUCCUGAAUGUGAAAAACUGCCCUGAUGCUGAUUCUGGUUGCCCCUCCUUGCCACAGUCCUUCCUGGACUGUGGUUCAGCCAGCCAAUGCACAUUAUAUUGGAUGCUUCCUCUAAAGAGUCAGGAGGAGUAAGUGGGAAUACGGGCUGUACUCAGAAAGGUGUUGUACUGGGGAGGCUGGCCUGGAUUCAAAUAUCUGCUGCAAUGUAUUAAUAUCUGUAGACAAGUCACAACACCUCUCUGUUACGGUCAAAGACCUUUGGAUUUCAAGGAACCGAGACUCAGUCAAGAUGACCUGAAGAGGAGUUGGUUAAGCAAACAGAAUCCACGAUAGCCACCAUUAUGUUCCCAUCGUCUGCAGUACUCAGUACAGUAACAUGCUGCGGAGGCGUGGGGCCCAGGAGCAAUCAGCUCUACCCUUCAGCCCAGGUGUGUGUUUGGUUGGACCAUCUGGAGGAAGCCGAGGAGACAUGAGCUGAAGGCACAGGGUUGAGGCUGACCUAAAGUUUAUCCGUUGGGCUGGAGUGCAGUGGUGCAGUGUCGGCUCACUGCAACCUUUGUCUCCUGGGUUCAAGCAAAUCUUGUGCCUCGGCCUCCCAAGAAGCUGGGAUUAUAGGUGUACGCUACCACACCUGGCUAAUUCUUGUAUUAGUAGAGAUGGGAUUUCACUAUGUUGGCUGGGCAGGUCUCUAACUCCUGACUUCAGGUAAUCCACCCUCUUUGGCCUCCCAAAGCUGGGAUUACAGGCGUGAGCCACCAUGCUCAGCCAGAGUCCAAACUUUUCUAUUAGAAAAUGUAGGUUCUGUCCUAGAAGGGAAAAUGUAAGAUUAAAAGUUGACCUUUAUAGAAUCAUGAAUUUUGUCUAUGUAGGUUUUCAACUUUUAUUUAAGAAUAAUUGUUUAAUGUUGGAAGGAUAGUUAAUGUUGGAAUAAAAAGAUGGUCAGGCUAUUAUAAAAAUGCAUUAGCUUUUGCUUUACUUAUUUAUAUUCUUUUGCUUUUGUGGGACCUAUCCCUUUUCCCUCUCCCUAAUGGCCAUACAUUUCACAGUGCUGUCUCAAUGUUUUAUAUAUGAAAUUUUAUUUCAUAAUUAAUAAACUCCCAUGCCAUUCCUUGGAACCAUUUUCUUGUUUAAUUUUAGUCUGUGACCAUUCUGUUGAUUUUUAGAGGCUCCCCAGUUAAUUUCUGUGGGAUUUUUACUCAUAUUUUGAAUAUAAAAUGUCUGAGAAAACAAAAUAAAAGUCAAACAUUCCUGAGAGCAUUUAGAAUUAUUGAAGUGCA